AACCUGGAGCUAAUACCGGAUAAUAUUUUGAACCGCAUGGUCAAAAGUGAAAGACGGUCUUGCUGUCACUUAUAGAUGGAUCCGCGCUGCAUUAGCUAGUUGGUAAGGUAACGGCUUACCAAGGCAACGAUGCAUAGCCGACCUGAGAGGGUGAUCGGCCACACUGGAACUGAGACACGGUCCAGACUCCUACGGGAGGCAGCAGUAGGGAAUCUUCCGCAAUGGGCGAAAGCCUGACGGAGCAACGCCGCGUGAGUGAUGAAGGUCUUCGGAUCGUAAAACUCUGUUAUUAGGGAAGAACAUAUGUGUAAGUAACUGUGCACAUCUUGACGGUACCUAAUCAGAAAGCCACGGCUAACUACGUGCCAGCAGCCGCGGUAAUACGUAGGUGGCAAGCGUUAUCCGGAAUUAUUGGGCGUAAAGCGCGCGUAGGCGGUUUUUUAAGUCUGAUGUGAAAGCCCACGGCUCAACCGUGGAGGGUCAUUGGAAACUGGAAAACUUGAGUGCAGAAGAGGAAAGUGGAAUUACCAUGUGUAGCGGUGAAAUGCGCAGAGAUAUGGAGGUACACCAGUGGCGAAGGCGACUUUCUGGUCUGUAACUGACGCUGAUGUGCGAAAGCGUG
rnacentral:rRNA from 1 species